GACCUUGUGAUGCUUUUAGAACUAUGGUGAACUUUGCCCACAGGUGUGAGUGUAUAGCAGUAUAAAACAUGAGGAAAAUCUUUUCUUUUUGCAACACAUUCUGAAAGGAUCAACAAGGUUUAGUUGUGGUGCCUAGGUGGGGCACACCGUGGUAAACGGAACUUCUGUAAAAAUGUAGUAAUGAGAGUGGAUUUAAAAUCCUGCUGCCAAGGGCAGGUCAUCCGGCCCAGAGACAAAGGAGAAUCUCAGCAGGGCUUGAGUCAUCACCUAUGCGUAUGGAGUCCGGAUGCGCGGAGACCGAAGUGACGCAGUUGCGCUGAAGUCUUAUGUGAAAGUCUUAAUGAAGUCUUAAUGUUUUAUGUGAAAGAAGAAUAUAUGAGUAUUCUGCACGAUGCAUGCAAAAAUGCAAAAAUGCAAACCAUGUUUAGUUUGGUUUCUGUGGGCUUGGUUCGGUUGGUUGGGAACCAACGGAUUAAAACCCUUCCUAAAAAACAAUGCAACAUCGAAAACGUAAUGGGUGCACAUUACACAAAUGAUUGACUGAUCUAUUAUCAUCUGUUGAAAUGCAAUAAAUGAAAGUGACUGUCAGGACAUUGUUAAGUCUGUUAACUUGUUUGGUAACUCACUUCACAAAACAUC